GGAAGAAGGGUGUUCACGUAAUCAAGCAAAAAGAAAUCUACAGGAAGCUUACAUCUAACAAUAAAAUUUUAUCUUCUCCCCUUUUUUUUGUACCCUAGUUGUGGUUUGGCUUCAAUGGCCACUCUUUCCUGGAAGACCAGUUUCUGUCUUUCUCUCCUCCCUCUUCUUAUAUAAUCCCCCCUCCUCUGUUCACAUUUCAACACCAUCCCUCUAGCUUGCAUAGCUCUCAAGCUUCCACUGAUAUACAAUCUUUCUUAACCCCAGAAGCUUAUAAGAAGGUUUGGAUAUAUUUUCUUUGUUUGUUUUGCUAACAAUGGCAUUAGAUCGUGCAGUUGAAUUCGAGGACUACUUCCCAUCAAUGAUGGAGCGAUUGGGAGCUGAAGGAUUUAUGAUGGAAUUAUGUAACGGGUUUCGCUUGCUAAUGGAUGGUGAGAAGGGAUUGAUUACGUUUGAAAGCUUGAAGAGAAACAGUGUUUUAUUGGGGUUGCAGGACAUGAGGGAUGAUGAGCUUGUGUGCAUGUUGAUGGAAGGUGAUUUGGAUGGAGAUGGAGCUAUAAAUCAGAUGGAGUUUUGCAUUCUCAUGUUUAGACUGAGUCCAGGGAUGAUGGUUGGACCCAAACAAUGGAUGGAUUACGAAUUUGAUGUAAAUAACGAAAUGUCGUAGCUAGCUAUAGCCCUUAUGUCUAAAUUAAUUAUGUUUCUUCCUGUUAUUUUCAUGUUUAAGCAACUAAUGUUUCUCAUGUAAUCUGAGUAUUAAUUAGUGCAAUGUCAUGUUAUGAAAAUAAUGAGCUAGAUAUCUGUAGAAAUUCAGUACAUAUAACAGCAUCAUCUUCUAGGGGCAUCAGAUGAAUGUCCAGCUAAGUGGGCACUACAAGGUGUCAGAAACAUAUAACUAUGAAGUCGUUUUUGUUUUUGUUU
rnacentral:misc_RNA from 1 species